rnacentral:lncRNA from 1 species
GAAAGCCCAGAGGAAUUUGUUCACCUCCUUCAGCACGCGUCAUGGAGCAAUGACCAUGACUACAUUGGGAGAUGAUGUGAUAUGAAGCUCUGAAACCUUCUCUCAUUUCUCUCUUUGGCCAUGUCAACAGGUCAAUGUCUGAAGGUCAAGCAAAAGGAACAAAGUGAAACAAAUACCAGUAAAAUGAGAGGAAAAAUAUUCUCCUCUUGUUUGGCAAAGCUUGGACUAGAAAUGGCCCCUCUGGCAAAGAUUUCUUGGGACCUAAAGUCAACUAGUGAUGCCCACAGUCUAUGAACAAAGUAUAUUCUGUUCAUAGGCCCAUAGUCAGUGCCUAGCCAGUCCAGCUAGGUAUUUGGUUAUUUGAAGUUUCACAGCCUUUUUGUAUUUAUCAUUUGGAUCCUGACAGCCUUAGAGGAGCUGUUUCCUUCCAGCAGAGAAUUGUUGCAGACAACAUGGACCUCUGGUUGAAGGAGAUGAUGG